rnacentral:lncRNA from 1 species
CAAGAGGCUUUAAAUUCUCAGCUCAAGCCAGGAUGACCAGCGCAGUUUCUGUCUCCUGAUUGGAACCAGAUGACAGGAGUUGUCCUGGGAGACAGACCAUCCGAUUUGGAGAGGUUCUGGCUGUGACCUCAGGCGUGAACACAUUGCUGAGUGUUGUAGUCAGGGUUUGCGAGGUAAUAGAUUUAAUACAGGACAUAUAAUUUACGGGACUAUUUUAUAAUAGUCACCCAAAAAGUUGAAUGCUGAGGAGUGCCAGAGAUCUGUCCACACCCUAGAGACUCGAAGAAUCCAGCCAAGGGCUUGGAUCCCACAGCAAUGUCUCAUGCUUGUCCGUAUCAAGGAUCGGGACCCAGAAGACCCAAAGGCCAGUGGUGGAGGCCAGAAAGCCUGUGCCACUGGUGAAGGACCUGUUCCACCAGGCUGAGGGACCUGCACUGGAGCCAGGAAGCACUGCUCAAAGCGAAGACUAGAGCUCCCCUGCCGAGAGCAGCCACCACUCCCAGCAACAGCAAGGACCUGAGCUCCUCCAACAACGAGAACAGCCAAGUUCCCCUUAGGAAAACCAGCCGAGCCAAGCUUCUCCAAGAAAAUUGACAGCCGAAGAUCUUCCCCUCCUGUUCUUUUGAUGCAGUUGGCAACAAUCCUCAGGUGGGUCUUCCACGCCCAGACCACACUGAUCCAACUCAGCAGGGCGUCCCACGUUGACCAUUAGUUAAUCCACUACACUGAGCUUCAUGCCCACAGAAAAUGGAUGCUCCUGCCCCGUGGGGCGUUUGGGCAUCAUCCUGAAGGGAGCAGGCAUGACACAAUGCAACCUGAAGCUUGUGCCCUGGGGCUCAAGGGACAGUGGGGAUGCCAGCCAGGACUGGAGGGUGGGGCCCCGAAAUUGCCCAGGGUGGCCUUGAAUUUGUGAUCUUCCUGCUUCAGCCUCCCAGAGUGCUAGAAUUACAGAUGUGUGUCACUGCGCCCAGCGAGGAUCUCUUACUUCUUGUACCUGUACAGCCCAUAUUGCUGAAGCUCAAACACCAAACCCAAGUCCACAUACGUGAUCACAGUGUCAGCUGAAUUCCAACCC